UACGGAGGGUGCAAGCGUUAUCCGGAAUUACUGGGCGUAAAGGGUGCGUAGGUGGUUUCUUAAGUCAGAGGUGAAAGGCUACGGCUCAACCGUAGUAAGUCUUUGAAACUGAGAAACUUGAGUGCAGGAGAGGAGAGUAGAAUUCCUAGUGUAGCGGUGAAAUGCGUAGAUAUUAGGAGGAAUACCAGUGGCGAAGGCGACUUUCUGGACUUAUACUGACGCUGAGGAGCGAAAGCGUGGGGAGCAAACAGGAUUAGAUACCCGCGUAGUCCCUGAG
rnacentral:rRNA from 1 species